UCGGAGACAUUACGAGUACUGAACGGGUUGUAGCUGGCCUCUCGGGGCAUGUGCACACCUGGCUCAUCCACUCUUCAACCUCUGUGCACUUGUUGUAGGUCGGCAGAAGGGCGAGCCUUAAAACAGCUCGCUUGGAAGCCUUCCUAUGUUUUAUUACAAACGCUUCAGUUUAAGAAUGUAACCUGCGUAUAACGCAACUAUAUACAACUUUCAGCAACGGAUCUCUUGGCUCUCGCAUCGAUGAAGAACGCAGCGAAAUGCGAUAAGUAAUGUGAAUUGCAGAAUUCAGUGAAUCAUCGAAUCUUUGAACGCACCUUGCGCUCCCUGGUAUUCCGGGGAGCAUGCCUGUUUGAGUGUCAUGGUAUCCUCAUCCUUCAUAACUUUUUGUUAUCGAAGGCAUGGACUUGGAGGUCGUGCUGGUUCCUCGUUGAAUCGGCUCCUCUUAAAUGUAUUAGCGUGAGUGUAACGGAUCGCUUCGGUGUGAUAAUUAUCUGCGCCGUGGUCGUGAAGGAACAUAAGCUUGCGCUUCUAACCGUCCUUAAGCUGGACAACUUACUUUGACAUCUGACCUCAAAUCAGGUAGGACUACCCGCUGAACUUAAGCAUAUCAAAAACGGGGAGGAAAUAA
rnacentral:rRNA from 1 species